AACGAACGCUGGCGGCAUGCCUAACACAUGCAAGUCGAACGAACCCUUCGGGGUUAGUGGCGCACGGGUGCGUAACGCGUGGGAAUCUGCCCUGGGGUGCGGAAUAACUCGGAGAAAUCCGUGCUAAUACCGCAUAAUGUCUUCGGACCAAAGAUUUAUCGCCCUGGGAUGAGCCCGCGUUGGAUUAGCUAGUUGGUAGGGUAAAAGCCUACCAAGGCGACGAUCUAUAGCUGGUCUGAGAGGAUGAUCUGCCACACUGGGACUGAGACACGGCCCAGACUCCUACGGGAGGCAGCAGUUAGGAAUAUUGGACAAUGGGCGAAAGCCUGAUCCAGCCAUGCCGCGUGUGUGAUGAAGGCCCUAGGGUUGUAAAAGCACUUUCGUUGGGGAGUGAUAAUGACCGUACCCAAAGAAGAAGCACCGGCUAACUUCGUUGCCAGCAGCCGUCGGUAAAGU
rnacentral:rRNA from 1 species